rnacentral:rRNA from 1 species
AAUAGAUACCCGGGUAGUCCACGCCGUAAACGGUGGGCACUAGGUGUGGGCGACAUUCCACGUCGUCCGUGCCGCAGCUAACGCAUUAAGUGCCCCGCCUGGGGAGUACGGCCGCAAGGCUAAAACUCAAAGGAAUUGACGGGGGCCCGCACAAGCGGCGGAGCAUGUGGCUUAAUUCGACGCAACGCGAAGAACCUUACCAAGGCUUGACAUACACCGGAAACGUCCAGAGAUGGGCGCCCCCUUGUGGUCGGUGUACAGGUGGUGCAUGGCUGUCGUCAGCUCGUGUCGUGAGAUAUUGGGUUAAGUCCCGCAACGAGCGCAACCCUUGUCCCGUGUUGCCAGCAGGCCCUUGUGGUGCUGGGGACUCACGGGAGACCGCCGGGGUCAACUCGGAGGAAGGUGGGGACGACGUCAAGUCAUCAUGCCCCUUAUGUCUUGGGCUGCACACGUGCUACAAUGGCCGGUACAAUGAGCUGCGAUACCGCGAGGUGGAGCGAAUCUCAAAAAGCCGGUCUCAGUUCGGAUUGGGGU